rnacentral:tRNA from 1 species
GGCGGCAUAACUCAGUUGGCCUAGAGUGUCGGUUUUACAAGCCGAAAGUCCUUGGUUCGAAUCCAAGUGCCGCUA